GGCUGGCACCAGUUGCUCCAGCCCCACCGGGGCUUUGUUCGGAGCCGUUUCCUUUUGGCUCGGCCGUGCCGCCCUCCCCUUGGCACCCGGCCCGCGGCGCGGGGGGAGCCGGCAGCACAGCCCGGUCUCUGCCGGCACCCCCGAUCACAACGGCCCGGCAGCGGCUGCCACUCAUCUCCGCCCCGCUCCCCGCCGAGCUCUUUCGGCGCCUCCGAGAGCCCUCCCCAGGCCACUGCGCUGCCAGGGCCCACGUGGGCGGCCUGCGGGACGCUCUGGGGAUGUGGAUGGAUCCAGCCUGGACCCACCUUGAGUGGACACAAGGUCCAGCAAGUCCCCCUGGCCGGGCAGGGGUCCUGGGCAGCUCCUGCCCUGCGGACAGUCAGCAGUUGGUCUGGCGUGAGCAGCGAUUCUCAGAUCACCUCUUGGCUGUGGGUGGUGCAGGGAGCAUCCACCAUGGCACGGCUGGGGGACAUGUUCUCACUCCUGCCCCGGGGCUGCAGAUUCUCACUGGCUGUGGGCUGCAGCCCUGGGGCUCCAGAGCUGCCCGAGGAGCCCCAAAGCCAAUUGUUGCAUUCCUGGAAGAGCCCAUGCAGCAGGAUCUGCCCUCACCCUGCUCCCCCCCCUUUUUCCCCAUGCACACAAGCCCUGGAGGAACCGGUUUGGGCCCUGCGGGCAGAGCUCCUUCCUUUCUCCCCACCCCCCCACCUGCCUUAACGGGAGGGCAGGAAGGGCACGGUAGAAAGGGAGGUCCCUAGCUCUGAGCUGUGGUGGGGUUUGGCGCUUCCUGCUCCCCGUCUUUCAGGCUUGGUGCCGUGGGGCUGGGGGUGUGCUGAGCCCUUGCCCUGUCCCCAGUUCAGCAGCCUGGCACACUUGUCAGGGAGCUGGCCAGCAGUGUGAGCUCUCUGUCAGGUCUGCGCUCCAACCAUCGCUGUGGAGCAGCUCAUCUCUGCAGAUGUAAUCAAGACCAUGAUGG